rnacentral:rRNA from 1 species
GAUGAACGCUAGCGGCAGGCUUAACACAUGCAAGUCGAGGGGCAGCACAGGUAGCAAUACUGGGUGGCGACCGGCAAACGGGUGCGGAACACGUACACAAUCUACCUUUAUCUGGGGCAUAGCCCGGAGAAAUCCGGAUUAACUCCCCAUAAUAUAUCAUUUAGGCAUCUAAGAGAUAUUAAAUCUCCGGAGGAUAGAGAUGAGUGUGCGUCCCAUUAGCUAGUUGGUAGGGUAACGGCCUACCAAGGCGACGAUGGGUAGCUGGUGUGAGAGCACGACCAGCCACACGGGCACUGAGACACGGGCCCGACUCCUACGGGAGGCAGCAGUGAGGAAUAUUGGUCAAUGGACGCAAGUCUGAACCAGCCAUGCCGCGUGAAGGAUGAAGGCCUU